rnacentral:rRNA from 1 species
CCUACGGGCGGCAGCAGUGAGGAAUAUUCGUCAAUGGACGAGAGUCUGAACCAGCCAAGCAGCGUGAAGGAUGACUGCCCUAUGGGUUGUAAACUUCUUUUAUAUGGGAAUAAAAUGUUCCACGUGUGGGAUUUUGUAUGUACCAUAUGAAUACGGAUCGGCUAACUCCGUGCCAGCAGCCGCGGUAAUACGGAGGAUCCGUGCGUUAUCCGGAUUUAUUGGGGUUAAAGGGAGCGUAGGUUGAUUGUUAAGUCAGUUGUGAAAGUUUGGGGCUCAACCGUAAAAUUGCAGUUGAAACUGGCAGUCUUGAGUACGGUAGAGGUGAGCGGAAUUCGUGGUGUAGCGGUGAAAUGCUUUGAUAUAACGAAGAACUCCGAUUGCGAAGGCAGUUCACUGGACUUCAACUGACACUGAGGCUCGAAAGUGUGGGUAUCAAACAGGAUUAGAUACCCCAGUAGUC